rnacentral:rRNA from 1 species
AACGAACGCUGGCGGCAUGCCUAACACAUGCAAGUCGAACGAACCUUUCGGGGUUAGUGGCGCACGGGUGCGUAACGCGUGGGAAUCUGCCCUUUGCUUCGGAAUAACACAGAGAAAUUUGUGCUAAUACCGGAUAAUGUCGCAAGACCAAAGAUUUAUCGGCAAAGGAUGAGCCCGCGUAGGAUUAGCUAGUUGGUGGGGUAAUGGCCCACCAAGGCGACGAUCCUUAGCUGGUCUGAGAGGAUGAUCAGCCACACUGGGACUGAGACACGGCCCAGACUCCUACGGGAGGCAGCAGUGGGGAAUAUUGGACAAUGGGCGAAAGCCUGAUCCAGCAAUGCCGCGUGAGUGAUGAAGGCCUUAGGGUUGUAAAGCUCUUUUACCCGGGAUGAUAAUGACAGUACCGGGAGAAUAAGCUCCGGCUAACUCCGUGCCAGCAGCCGCGGUAAU